rnacentral:rRNA from 1 species
UACGUAGGGUGCGAGCGUUGUCCGGAUUUAUUGGGCGUAAAGAGCUCGUAGGCGGUCUGUUGCGUCGGCUGUGAAAACCCGGGGCUCAACCCCGGGCCUGCAUUCGAUACGGGCAGACUAGAGUUCGGUAGGGGAGUCUGGAAUUCCUGGUGUAGCGGUGAAAUGCGCAGAUAUCAGGAGGAACACCGGUGGCGAAGGCGGGACUCUGGGCCGAUACUGACGCUGAGGAGCGAAAGCGUGGGGAGCAAACAGG